rnacentral:misc_RNA from 1 species
AGCAACUUAUUAACGGACGGCCACGAUUGAUUGUCACUGUGUUUUCACCUGGACGGAAUCGGACGGUUAACACUCCGUUUUGUUGUGUUUUCUCAUGGCCAGGUUAACGGCUGAGAUGUGUGCUUUGCAGUCCGAAUCGGAUUAAUGAUUCAUCACGAUCCCUCCUAAUUUCGUUCAACUGGCUGCGCCUGCAUUGUACCAGAACGACGCCGUCUCAUGGGGGAGGACCCAAAUUAAUUAAUUU